rnacentral:rRNA from 1 species
CCUACGGGCGGCUGCAGUGGGGAAUAUUGGACAAUGGGGGGAACCCUGAUCCAGCCAUGCCGCGUGUGUGAAGAAGGCCCUCGGGUUGUAAUGCACUUUCAGUGAGGAAGAACGCCUGGUGGUUAAUACCCAUCAGGAAAGACAUCACUCACAGAAGAAGCACCGGCUAACUCCGUGCCAGCAGCCGCGGUAAUACGGAGGGUGCGAGCGUUAAUCGGAAUUACUGGGCGUAAAGCGCGCGUAGGUGGCUUGAUAAGCCGGUUGUGAAAGCCCCGGGCUCAACCUGGGAACGGCAUCCGGAACUGUCAAGCUAGAGUGCAGGAGAGGAAGGUAGAAUUCCCGGUGUAGCGGUGAAAUGCGUAGAGAUCGGGAGGAAUACCAGUGGCGAAGGCGGCCUUCUGGACUGACACUGACACUGAGGUGCGAAAGCGUGGGUAGCAAACAGGAUUAGAUACCCUGGUAGUC